GAUGAACGCUAGCGGCAGGCUUAAUACAUGCAAGUCGAGGGGUAGCAAGAUUGUAGCAAUACAAUUGUUGACGACCGGCAAACGGGUGCGGAACACGUACACAACCUUCCUACAAGUGGGGAAUAGCCCAGAGAAAUUUGGAUUAAUACCCCGUAACAUAGCGAUGUGGCAUCACAUUGCUAUUAUAGCUUCGGCGCUUGUUGAUGGGUGUGCGGCUGAUUAGAUAGUUGGCGGGGUAACGGCCGACCAAGUCUACGAUCAGUAGCUGAUGUGAGAGCAGGAUCAUCCACACGGGGACUGAGACACGGGCCCGACUCCUACGGGAGGCAGCAGUAAGGAAUAUUGGACAAUGGACGCAAGUCUGAUCCAGCCAUGCCGCGUGAAGGAUUAAGGUCCUCUGGAUUGUAAGCUUCUUUUAUAAGGGACGAAAAAAGGUCUUUCUAGAUCGUCUGACGGUACCUUAUGAAUAAGCACCGGCUAACUCCGUGCCAGCCGCCGCAGUAAUAC
rnacentral:rRNA from 1 species